rnacentral:rRNA from 1 species
GAUGAACGCUAGCUACAGGCUUAACACAUGCAAGUCGAGGGGAAACGAUAUUGGAAGCUUGCUUUCUUUAGGCGUCGACCGGCGAAUGGGUGAGUAACGCGUAUCCAACCUGCCCCUUACUAGAGGAUAGCCCGGCGAAAGUCGGAUUAAUACUCUAUGUUCUCCUUUGCAGGCAUCUAACGAGGAGCAAAGAUUCAUCGGUAAGGGAUGGGGAUGCGUCUGAUUAGCUUGCCGGCGGGGUAACGGCCCACCGGGGCAACGAUCAGUAGGGGUUCUGAGAGGAAGGUCCCCCACAUUGGUACUGAGACACGGACCAAACUCC